GCUAUAACCGAGGAUACACUGAUGGGUCCUUCGCGGCUCCUUCGCGGAUGCAUUUCCGGGAACGUUGGGUAUAAAAUAGGCGUGACACACCGCUGCCACAGUGGAGGAUGAGGAGGCCACAGAGUCUGGCUCGGACAGCCAGGAGUGUGUUGAGCCAUCCACCUCUGCCGGUCCCCCUCCUCGAAAAAAAAGAAAAAGCGCUUUGCUACAGCUCCUGGAGGCAGAGGCGGACAAGGAGGAGGACCGCUUCAACCGCCAGCAGGCAGCCUCGGAGGAAGCCUCCGCCAAAUUCCUCAAGCUCUUCGAGGAACUAGUUAGGAAGGAAUAGUGUCUUUUUUUUCUUCUUUUUUCUAUACUUUGGAUGUGUUCAUUUAUCCUUUAUUUAUAUAUGUUACAACAUUUAGUAAACAUAUUUAAGUUUGA